CGCUGCGGCGGUGACGGCGGCGGCGACGGUGGCUUUCGUCCCGUCGGCCAAUGGAACACGGUGCCAGUCGUCGCUAUCACGGGCACCGCGGCGCUGGCCGCAGUUCACCAAGCGGCGUCCACGCGACUCGCGACGCGCGUCUCUGGUCCUCGAGCUGGUUAUGCGGCUUUCGAGAGGGCUUUUCGAGGCUCCCUCGAGGCGAAACCGUCGUUCUCGCGUUGACCUGUGCGCGAAUCUCGUUAGACACUCGUACAAAACGGACUACACCGGUUUUCUUAUCGUCCGAGGCCCAAGACUUUUGAUUUUAGGUAUCGAUCGCAAACAGUGUUCGAUAUUCGUUUGACGUGAAACGAUCUGGAUCAAUCGUCAGAAAAGAAGAAGCGUUUGAUGGCAGAUGAAGAGAGAUAAGACUUUGGCACGUUAUUACACUGUGUUAUAAAAGUUUUAUUUAAAUAGGAAUACGACAUAUUAUAAGGUAUAUGGAGAUAUUUGUAGCUGAUUGAUCUUAUAAAGAUCUUAUAAAGAUCUUAUAAAGAUUGAUAAAGGGUGAAGAAGGAUAAGAGAUAGCUUGACAUUUUGUAGGUAGAAAACAUUUUAUGUUUGGUCUGUAGUAGUGGAUGGUUUAGCGCGCCAAUUUCUUACGGGCUUUGCAAUCGAAGAUAUUCAAACGGUAUCUAUGUUGUUGAUGUGGGUGAUGAAUUUAGUCAGUUGUUUAUUUAUUUUUCUCAAUCGUGUUCGUUAAAUGAUUUCGUUAAUGAUUUCUUUUUGUAAAUUUUCUAAUAGGGAUUACUAGUAAUCUCUUUAUUUUCUUCAUUCUUUGUGAAUAAAUUUUGUAAAUAUUGAUCUACUAGUAAUUACUGAAAUUUAAAAUGAGACAAGUUCUUCAUUGUAAAACUUUAUACUACUUUCUUUUUUUUCUGCAAAACUUUCCACUUCUCGAAACUGCGUAUGGUGCCUUAUCGAUGUUCCAGAUUUUCUACGAUAUACAGAAAAAUUAAUAUUCAAAAUUAUCUGGAGGGUUUUAGCAAUGUCUGGCUUUAUUUGAGUGUGGUUUGAAAUAUUGAAUCAGCUGUUUAUGAAAAAAAUAAUUCCAUCUUUAUAAUAUCUUUUCGCGAUCUCGUCGAAUAUCCUUGUCUUUUUAUGGAUAUUUUGAAUUGAUUUCAUUCGAUAGGGUUUCGGUAGAAAAUAUUUCCAAUUCUGAUUUUUAAUCAGAACAAUACUCGUACUAAUAUCUUCAAUGAAAAAAUGAUACUUUCACUAAUAAAUCUUGUUUUUUACAUCGUUAAAAAGGCCGCUGGAACAUCCUAUCUAUUGAUCACACUACGCUAUAUUUAUAGAUUGAUUGCGUAAUAAUCCGAUUAAUCGAUUGAUUAAUUAAGAAACCUUUUUUUAUCCCUUUUUUAAAUUUAGUUGCUUCUUAUUCUUACUUAAAAUAAUUAACAUCAUAACUCUUUCUGUCAAAAUUCUUCACUUUCGUCAAAGUUGCGAUUCAACGUUGAAACAAUAAGAAAAUAUAUUCUUUUUGAGAUUAUUUGAAAUUGCAGUACAGUGUAACAGUAACAUUUUCAGAAAUAUAAAUUCACGUUAACGGAUUUGACUUUUUCUUUCGUAUUUCUACGAUGCAAUAAGUUGCAACAAAGUAAGCAUUAAUUAUGUCAGAUUUCAAAGUUUCCUUCGUCAUGUUCGUAUUAUCUAUGCAAAUAAAGAUGGCGAGUCGUCGUAACUGACGACUUUUACGGAAACAUUUAUUUCCAAGCAUUUAUGAAAUUCACAAUUACCGUGUAAGGUGCUUUCACGACUCACAACGACGAGGAAAGCUUCCUUUUAAGAUGUAUUGAACGUGCAAUGUUAAAAAUUUAACUGGAUAUAAUGUGAUUUUUACAAUCGAGUCUGAAACGUUCGCCACAAAACACUUCUGUCAGAUGAAAGCAACUUUCAAUCUAUCAACAGGAACAACAUUGAUAAUAUCUCCGUUUUCAUCAGAAAUUAGUCAGAUUCUUAUCAAAGCGCAACGUAUUGCGGGAUUGACGUCAGGUCAUGUAAAUCAUCGACACUAUCAAUCGUAAUCUGUCAUAUUUGUCUCUUAAUCAAAUUUCAAACACUUGGACACACAGCUUUGCUUGAUUUUUCCGUGUGCAUUUUAUUAUCUGUUCUACUUAUACCUAGAAAGUACGAUCUGCGAAAUUCAUUCCAAAUUUCAUAACAACAAAAUGUUCUUCCAGAUACAAAAUGAAAUAUAACGGAACAUUUUCGAAAAUUUGUAAGAUAUCAAACGCAAUUUUUGGAUAGAAUUGAUCAAUGAUAUAGGAACUUCGAAAUAAAAGAAGAAUUUUCUUCUUCGACAUUUAUCAAAUUCGUUAUAAGUUUCCAAAUAAUAAAAAUCUAUGGAUGUUAUAAUGUAAAAGGAGAAUACUUUUUUGCAAAUUUUGUUCGAUAUAUUCAAAUUCGUUUUCGAAAAUAUUCAUAAAACAAAAGAAAUCGCAUUUGAUAGGAAGGAUUGUCCGAUUUUUCGAUGGGAUCCACGUCGAUGUAUAUGACUUUCACGGCGUUCGAAAGGAGAGUGGUGGACGAAGUUAAAUAUAUAUCCGCGAAGAGGACUGCUCGCAGGAUCAUAAAAUAUUUACCGCAGCGUGACACGAAGUCAAAGGGGCAGACUUUAUUGACAGACGAAACGACGAAGCUUACAAAAUUUAUCCGCCGUUAAUUCUCGCUCCAUUUGCGUUUCAUCCCAAUUAUUCAUCGGCCGUCUCGCCUGUCUCUCAUUCGCUUCCUGUUAAGCGGUCCCGACUUUUAUUAAGUUUUCUCAACCGGUUCGUCAUCCAGUUUCGCGUGUACGUUUCAUGAAGUUAAGUGCUUCUUAAAAAUUUGAUUUUCAUCGAGUGUUGAUUCGAGUCGCCAUGAAUAUUUCAGCAGUUAGUCUCAGUUUUAGAUAUGUACAAUUAAAGAAUCUUGAAAUCGAUUUUUCUAUUUCGUAGGAGAUGAGUUGGGAGCCCUUAAUGUGCAUAAUCUUCGUAAAAAGUGACGAAGCAAAAUUACUAACUGGUAACAUUAGUGCAUAUUUAUUAAAUAAUAAUUCAAUUAAAAUCAAUUAAAUAUUAUGUAUAAACAUAUACUGCAAAAUAUAGUAUAUGUAUAGGUGAUUAUAACUGUAGUCAUAUAGUAAAAAGAAUUAUUGUAUAUUAUAUUAGUAUUUGUAUAUUUAAAAUUCAUUUUCUGUAUCAAUAAUAGUCAUCGUGUUUUUAAUAUAUUUAUAAUAGAAAUAAAAUAUUGUAUCCUGUCAUUUUGACAGAUUUGGUAGUUCCAUUCUAGUGCUAAAAAAAAUAAUUACACUCCUACAUCAAUUUAAACAUCGACCCGAAUAUUUUUUUAAAUGUGAGUUAAUUUCGAUAUUUGAAGAGAGUAGCAUAUCAAAUUUGCGAUUGAUAUUACACGAAAAUAUUAUAUUUUAGGGAUUACAAUUCCAGAUUUAAUCGCAAAAUUUCAUUCUUGCACUGGUAUAAUUUAAUUUCAAUGUAUGGCUGUCCGCCUUUACUAUGGAUGUAGGUGGGAAAUUCAAUUUCGAAGAGUCGUUAGUUCGCCCGAUAGAGACGCGCUUCAAACAAACGUCUUUGGUAAAGUUCAAAGGUUUUCCAUGAAACGAGACGGUGACAGCGAUUACCUAUAGAUAUUCAGCGUCGAACACGCUUGAAUAAAUAUCAGACGCGAAGGUGUUGGACCUUGUGCUCUCCGAUAUCAGCUAUAAAUGCAUAUUUGGAACAAGGAAUGCGCUUUCAGCUCGAAUUAUGAAUCCAAUAGUAGGUCUCCUCAGAUAUGUUAUUCUGCUGAAACAGAAGUGCUAUUUUCUUCUUCGAUUAAAUAAUCUCUACCUUGAAAAUUGCUUUCUCGUUGUAUGAUACUCAGCUUCGAAUAAUCUACUUGCUAAAUCGAGGAUAAGUCAGACAUAUCAAAUGAAAAAAACAUUGUCUAGUUUUAAAUCUGUAUUAUCGAAUCUGAAUCGUAGAAUAGUACAUAUUUUCUAAAUUAAUAGAAUCAUCUAGGCUUCCGACUCAUAUUGUAUUUUAGUAUUUCAUACAAUCUUCGUUUCAUAUCACCUUUGGAAAAUUAAGAAAAUACACUGUCGCUCAUAAAUAUCGGAACAAGUAAUCAAUCUCUAGUAACAAUGCAUGAAUUUUACUAAAAUAUAUGAGUUAAUAAUUAGCCAGUGGUUAAAUGUUGUGAUACUUAGUAUAUAUAUAAGCUGUCAUUAUUUAUUGAAAAGCUAAUUGAUCGUCUACUGGUUUUAUACGAUUACUGGUUAAAUAUAGUGCACAUAAUAUCUCUUUCAACAAUCAGUUAAUCACGUUGAUCAAUUACAAAUAGUUUUAUCACUUACGUAACUUAAUUUUUCUUUCCGAAUAACAUCCAUGGACAUUUACAUAUUAAUUUUAAGUGUCAGAAUGAUACAAUCUGGCAAGCUCUUAAAGAAAAUUCAAUUGACAUUUUAAAAUUUAGAUAUCUUCAUUCAGCCUGACUAUCCAGAAUUCCUCGAUUCGAUCUACAAUCAUCUAUUGUGUAAUUACCAAAUAAGACGCAAUCGAUUAAACACAUUUGAAAGCAGAGCUCGUGGCAAAGCAAUGGCAGACAGCGAGCGAUCUGUCACUAAUUGCGUGGUCGAUCAAGUUUUCAGUUUGGAAUCCGCUGUGUGUGUCAAUUGCUAAAUGACGUUCCGUAACAAUACCGAAUUAAGAUCGAUCUCUAUCUUAACAGUAGAUAACAACGUUAUUGUUCAGCCAGGAAGUGUUUUAUCUUGCCAUUAACCGCGUUUAAGUGUAUGCUUUGAUCAUUCUGUUUAGCAUGGCGAAAAAAGGCAUUGGAAUCGAUGUUUCUUGACAUUGUCUGCAUUGUGAACUCGAUUUCCAUUGGUGAUGGGAAGGAAAUUCUUCGUUGAGAAAAACCUAAAUGCGCUUUGACGCGUCGAAAGUAAACUAGUUGGAAACUGAAAACGGUUAUCGAUGUCCUCUGAUGACAAUGAUGAUGUUUUACGACAGCCAAUUCCGAAGGAAGUCGUUAUUUUCAGUUACUGAUUUUAAGAACUGUCAUGGAAGGAUGAUUUAGUGUCAGUGUCCUAAUUCCUUUGUAAGCAGAAGCAACUUUUAGUGUUCCGGAGAUCGUAUGAAUGACACGUUUUUACUCUUUUGGAAAGGUAAAACUGUGCUUUCAUAAUAUCUGGGCAUUCUAUUGAUUUGCUAGUCAAGUGACGACAAAUAUUGAUCGUCGUCAUCGAUCAUUAAUUAUAAAUAUUGAUUCUCAAUUAUUAAUUGUUAUCUUUUGAUCGAAGUUUAAUUAUAGUUGUGAUUAAUGUGUACAAAGGUGUAUUAUAUUGGGUUGGCAACUAAGUGAUUGCGGAUUGUGUCAUUAGGUGGUAUUGACAAAAUCCGCAAUCACUUAGUUGCCAAUCCAAUAUUAAGCGAACAUUGUUGGCGACUAAAGUUGAUUAAAUUUACUUUUCAAACUCAUUGUCAGGUAUUACUUUCAUAAAAAAGAUGCUUCUAUUCUAAUCAUUAUAUAUAAUUGUAAUUUAUAAUCAAAUUUUUCAUUUAUAUACAAAUAUUUCGUAACCGUUAAUUGUUAAUUACAAUAAAUAUUGCCCAACACUGAAGUAUGGUCUGAUAUAUUUUCUUUUCUUUAUAAAUUAGUUGAUCUUAGUUAUCAUUUUCUGUUUACAAAAUUUUUUGAUGUUUAUUUUCAAUGCUACUCUAAAAUGAUUACUGGAUCUCAUAGAUUUUCUAACUAAAUGCAGAAAAUAUGUUAGACAAAACAAUUUAUUUAUUCAAGACUUAGUGUAUUUAUGACUCAAGUUUUAUUAAUGCGUUUUAUAUUGCCCUAGAUUUAUAAAACGAACUGUUUAAUGCUCCAAACGCUUCCUCUAAAUACGAAUGAAUCAGCAUCUGCUAAACUUACGUCGAAGGGGUUCAGUCCCUUCGAAACGAUUACACUUUCGAGAAAUUUAUAUUUUCGGCGCGAUGGAGGGCUAUUUUUACCCGCGUUUGAUCGUUCCACCAGUUUAAGUUCAUUCCUGACGUUUCGACGUUCUUCAUUCCAUACUCGUUAAAAUCUUGGAAGGGUUCACUAUGCAGCCUAAAAAGACUGAAAUUUCCCAAGAUUUUUUUAUGUUUUUCAUGAAUUAUUAUCGGCCAAAUUUGCUUUCACAUUAAACUUAUUCAUUUUAUUUUUUCUAUACUAAAAUUUAUGAAUAAUUAGAUUGCCGAUCUAAGCAUUUAUUUCAUCUACUAAGUAUUAUAGUAGAUAUUUUAUUUGAUAUAUUUUAUAUAUUUUUGUAUAUUAUGUGCACACUAUAUGUUUUUGCAUCUUUAAAUCUCUCAAACGUAUACAUUUCCAUAUGCGUUAUUAGCAUAUUAAUAUAUUGAUACAGCUUUCUUAAUUAAUAGUUGCUUACACAGAUUACAGAAAAUAAUUCACUAUAUUUUCCAACAAUUAAACCCCUGAUAUGUCGAAAGUUUCCAAUUCCUCGACGUUUCCGUCAAAAUAACCAAUCAAUUUCCACAAAUUAUCAAUAUAACCGAACCUAAUAUAUUAACUGCUUAAUGCUAAUAACCAGCCAGAGAAAGCAAAUUUGCCAACAUAGAGUGCAACGACCUCCGACGAUCAAUCACAUGGUUGACAACUAACUUCUUUCUGUUUCUUUCAAAAAGGAACUCGAAUUGUCACACGAGGACGAUCGAGUUGCUAUUUGUCAGCGGGUUCUGGUUGAACGCGCUGAACCCUUGUCCGACUGACGAUUUCACAAGCGUGACCGAUUAGACAACCAGUUUUACUGGCUUAUAAACAAUCCGCAUGAACGAUAGCGCUAAUCGAACGUAUGAGACACCUGUUCCGAUUGGUCAGUAAAUAACGACAAAAAGAAAGUAUUCGGUAUUCGCGCGACGCGAUCCUCUCGACCACUGAUGACACGGUGAAUAUUAAUAAAACUCUGUCGCAAUUAAUUUCUUUAAGUAGUGUUAGCAAAGUUAGUAGAUUUCCAAUAAAUCAGUGAGGAUUAAGUACUGAAAUACUUCGUAUGAAUGAAGAAUAUAGGAAGGCAACAUUAUCGAAAAACAUAAAUUAAAUAAUUUAUAUAUAGUUUGUCCGAAGAAAGAAAAAUGUGCAAAGGCAACAGAUUAUUGAAAAAUAAAAUAAAAUAUAUUAUUGACUGAACCAAUAUUAUAAAUAAAAUUUUGCAUUGGUACAACAUUGCAUUGGUCUUUGUUUUUUAAAUUUGUUUGUUUAGUAUCGCGUCAGCUUAUUAAUCAAACAUUGCGUUGAUCCUUAAUAACUUAUAAUCAUUCAUCUCUAUAGCACGAGAAGAUGAUAGAAAAUAGAUUACUAGGUCCUUGUACUGAUAAAAUGGAAAUUUCGGUGCAAGUCGAAAGGUGGAACUGGAACAAAGUUAUUUCGUAACAUAGCUCUAGAGUCGAUAGAAGGCCACGAGUGGAAAUACACGAUCUUUCUAGGACGAUUUUUAUCUUCCAAGGUUGUUAUCGAGAAAACACGAUACCAGUAACUACACACGUUUGUGCAUACUACGUAUCAUUCGAAAGUGUAGGAUAAAAGGAAACGAUACAAACAUGGAUAAACUAAUCUGUAUAUAUAAGUUGUAAUGUUCCUG